rnacentral:rRNA from 1 species
GAUGAACGCUGGCGGCGUGCCUAAUACAUGCAAGUCGAGCGAAUGGAUUAAGAGCUUGCUCUUAUGAAGUUAGCGGCGGACGGGUGAGUAACACGUGGGUAACCUGCCCAUAAGACUGGGAUAACUCCGGGAAACCGGGGCUAAUACCGGAUAACAUUUUGAACCGCAUGGUUCGAAAUUGAAAGGCGGCUUCGGCUGUCACUUAUGGAUGGACCCGCGUCGCAUUAGCUAGUUGGUGAGGUAACGGCUCACCAAGGCAACGCUGCGUAGCCGACCGAAGAGGGUGAUAGGCCACACUGGGACUGAGACACGGCCCAGACUCCUACGGGAGGCAGCGGUAGGGAAUCAUCCGCAAUGGACGAAAGUCUGACGGAGCAACGCCGCGUGAGUGACGAAGGCUUUCGGGUCGUAAAACUCUGUUGUUAGGGAAGAACAAGUGCUAGUUGAAUAAGCUGGCACCUUGACGGUACCUAACCAGAAAGCCACGGCUAACUACGUGCCAGCCGCCGCGGUAA